rnacentral:lncRNA from 1 species
CCAGACUGGUGUUCAGUUUGUUCUACACUUCUACUUCCACUUGCAGAGCUUGUAGAACGCUACCCUCAUCAUGCUGAACUUCUCUCUGAACUCGGCUGAUGAUAAGUAGGACUGCAUUCGCCUGAUAACAGUAAGUGAAUUAAAAAGGUUGUCUCACGAAUGCGAAGUGGAAGAUUGGUUGCUCACCUCUCGCUUGGUCACGUUGAUGUCGGGGACAGGAACUUCAACUUUGAUUGUCAGGCAUUCAUAUGGGUAGAUCAUGCGCCCCUUCGUCAUCUUCCGUCUCAAUUUCG